rnacentral:rRNA from 1 species
GAUGAACGCUAGCUACAGGCUUAACACAUGCAAGUCGAGGGGCAGCAUGGUCUUAGCUUGCUAAGGCCGAUGGCGACCGGCGCACGGGUGAGUAACACGUAUCCAACCUGCCGUCUACUCUUGGACAGCCUUCUGAAAGGAAGAUUAAUACAAGAUGGCAUCAUGAGUCCGCAUGUUCACAUGAUUAAAGGUAUUCCGGUAGACGAUGGGGAUGCGUUCCAUUAGAUAGUAGGCGGGGUAACGGCCCACCUAGUCUUCGAUGGAUAGGGGUUCUGAGAGGAAGGUCCCCCACAUUGGAACUGAGACACGGUCCAAACUCCUACGGGAGGCAGCAGUGAGGAAUAUUGGUCAAUGGGCGAGAGCCUGAACCAGCCAAGUAGCGUGAAGGAUGACUGCCCUAUGGGUUGUAAACUUCUUUUAUAAAGGAAUAAAAGUCGGGUAUGGAUACCCGUUUGCAUGUACUUUAUGAAUAAGGAUCGGCU